ensembl:antisense Gm15684 predicted gene 15684
GACGGGUGCAGACUUGAAGUGGGCAUGGUAUAGCUGGGGCCAUUCACUAAAAGGAAGUUACCUGAGGGACCUCCUAGGAGUGUGUGGGAUUGCACCAAGAUGUUCCUCAUCUGAUUAGUUCAGAAAAAUGGAUGGGGAAGGAAGCAGCCGGAUAUGACGCCAUCACGUCAACAGAUGGUGCCAACGGGAUCCUUAUUCCCAAGUGGUCCUGGGCAGAGAGGCCUGUCAGGCUGGCGGUGACUGGCAGGGUCUGGUUCCGAUCCUGAGCAUGGCAGCAUGGCUAGGCACCCUGUUGUCAUGGAGAAGCAUCUUCAUUUUCCUCCCUUGAAGAAGGACGCACAAGUUCCAAUUCCCAAAAAAGUCUGUGCUGCAAAAGGUUAAGUAAGAAGCGACAGACCCACACGUGUUCCUAAGGCCGGUGAAGACACUGGUGACACCAUUACUCAGUUUCAGAAUUCCCAGAAACCACUUCUCGGAGGCACGGUCUAUGAGUGGACACAAACGGCUUACUGCGUGCUGACUGGCAACUGGCCAGUCGCUGCUUCUGUUCCUCAGAUAUGCUCGUCCUGUCUAGGGACUGGCAUUUCCAGAAGCAAGGCAUCGGUUUCCGCUGGGGCAAGUGCCAGGAGAAGCUUCCUAGUAUUCUCCACGUCCCCUGGGGUUGCACAUUCACCCCAUGAGAGGCGAGCCUUCUCCAGAAGCCAAGAGGACGUGGCUGUGUCCUUCAUUUCCCCCCCUUGAGGAAUUCCAGAUACCAUGACGCCCACAUUUCCUGGAUGCGUGGCAGGCCGCUCUCACCUCUCAUGUCUGGUGAUGCUCACAUCUCUGACGACUGACAGACAGACAGACACGCAUCCUUCCCCUACCUCUCCUGCCACAUGUAGAGGGUGUCCACUCUCCGCUCAUGUGGGCUCGACAUUAAUUCUGGGUCAUUUCACAACGACCCCUAUGAGCUGAGAGGUUUACUGGUCAGCCCUGACAUCUGGCAGCUGUGGGACCCAGGGCAGCCCGUACCCACUGCUCAAUGUGCCGUGCCACGGGCAAAGGUGGCACUGAAAGUGUGCCCAGCUUGUCACUCACUCUGACAUCAUAAGCCCACAAGGUCAAGGAGAUCACUGAUCAUUAACUAUCCCUCUCAGAUGGGAGAUAGAGGGUUAGGAGCUAAACAACUUGCCCACAGUCCCUCGAGGACAGCAGAGCCAUGGUCUCACAGCUUGGGACAGUGAAGAGCGAUGGCAGCUGUGUUUCUCCAAGCAAGGUUCAGGGCUGCACAUGACUUGUGUCAUAGCAACUGCAUAGACAAAGGUCACCAACUGCUGAACCCACUGUCACCAUCUCCAGGACCCCAAACUCUCAAGGACUGUCCUUGAGUUCCAAGGCCCUUCUGCAGCAGCCUACAACCUCCAGCAUCCCAUGCUCCCUGGGAGUGUGUUCAAAUGCAGGUUCUGUAGCUCUGUUCUGGUCCACUGGGCCAGGAGAGUUGCAGAGAGGCUGGGAGGCUCAACUACAUACACACUGCUCUUCUCCGGGAUCCUGAUGCCCACACAAUGGGAGUUUGUUUGAGCAGCAGAUGAGGCAAGGAAACUGAGGUUCAGUGGGGAAAGAAAUCCGAACGGGUAAUUCCCCUGCCUGGGGCCAGCUCGGGCCUCUUGACCUCGGCUCUGGUGUCUGAGCCACACCCAGACGAUCCUGCCGGCAGCUCACCACAAAGGGAGCUGCAGCCAGGACAGGCACUCUGCAAAUGGCUGUAUCCGUGGCCCUCGGAGGCCCUUCAAAGGUCUGGAGACUACACUCCCAAAAUAAAUCUCUUAGCU